UAGAAUAGAUAUCUAUCUCUAC
rnacentral:siRNA from 1 species